AACGCACCUUGCGCCCUUUGGUAUUCCGAAGGGCAUGCCUGUUUGAGUGUCAUUAAAUUCUCAACUUCAAAAGUUUAUUCUUUUUGAAGCUUGGAUAUUGGAGGACUUCUGCAGGCAAUUCAAUGCCAGCUCCUCUUAAAUGCAUUAGCGGAACUUUGCACAGUUCAGGCUCUGGUUUGAUAAUACUAUCUAUACCAUUAAUAGCUUGAAAAGUGAUCUGUUUGGCUUCUAAUGGUCCAUUGUGGACUGUCUCUUUGGAGGCAUUAUCUUUGACUUGACCUCAAAUCAGGUAGGAUUACCCGCUGAACUUAA
rnacentral:misc_RNA from 1 species